AACGAACGCUGGCGGCGCGCUUAACACAUGCAAGUCGAACGAGAAGGCGUAGCAAUACGCUGGUACAGUGGCGAACGGGUGAGGAAUACAUGGGUAACCUACCCUCGAGUGGGGGAUAACCCGCCGAAAGGCGGGCUAAUACCGCGUACGCUUCCGAUCUUGCGGGAUCGGAAGGAAAGCUGUCCCAAGGGGAUGGCGCUCAAGGAUGGGCUCAUGUCCUAUCAGCUUGUUGGAGGGUAACGGCCUACCAAGGCAUCGACGGGUAGCUGGUCUGAGAGGACGAUCAGCCACACUGGCACUGCGACACGGGCCAGACUCCUACGGGAGGCAGCAGUGAGGAAUAUUGCGCAAUGGGCGAAAAGCCUGACGCAGCGACGCCGCGUGGGGG
rnacentral:rRNA from 1 species